rnacentral:rRNA from 1 species
GAUGAACGCUGGCGGUAUGCUUAACACAUGCAAGUCGAACGGUACCUUCGGGUAUAGUGGCGGACGGGUGAGUAACGCGUGAGAAUCUGUCUUCAGGUCGGGGACAACAGUUAGAAAUGACUGCUAAUACCGGAUGUGCCGAAAGGUGAAAGAUUUAUUGCCUGAAAAAGAGCUCGCGUCAGAUUAGCUAGUAGGUGGUGUAAGAGACUACCUAGGCGACGAUCUGUAGCUGGUCUGAGAGGACGAUCAGCCACACUGGAACUGAGACACGGUCCAGACCCCUACGGGAGGCAGCAGUGGGGAAUUUUCCGCAAUGGGCGAAAGCCUGACGGAGCAAUACCGCGUGAGGGACGAAGGCUUUUUGGGUCGUAAACCUCUUUUAUUAGGGAAGAUUUCAGGACGGUACCUAAUGAAUAAGCAUCGGCUAACUCUGUGCCAGCAGCCGCGGUAAU